rnacentral:rRNA from 1 species
UACAGAGGUGGCGAGCGUUGUUCGGAUUUACUGGGCGUAAAGCGUGCGUAGGUGGUAUCGUAUGUCGGAUGUGAAAUCCCAUGGCUCAACUGUGGAACUGCAUUCGAAACUGCGAUUCUAGAGUACAGGAGGGGUGAGCGGAAUUCUUGGUGUAGCGGUGAAAUGCGUUGAUAUCAAGAAGAACACCGGCGGCGAAGGCGGCUCACUGGAAUGUUACUGACACUGAGGCACGAAAGUUGGGGGAGCGAACAGGAUUAGAUACCCGCGUA